CUGCUGCCUUCCGUAGGAGUCUGGGCCGUGUCUCAGUCCCAAUGUGGCCGUCCGCCCUCUCAGGCCGGCUACCGAUCGUCGCCUUGGUGGGCCACUGCCCCGCCAACAAGCUAAUCGGACGCGGACCCAUCGCAUGCCGGGAUUGCUCCCUUUCCGCACUGCGCCAUGCGGCGCUGUGCGCAUAUGCGGUAUUAGCGGCUGUUUCCAGCCGGUAUCCCCCUGCAUGCGGCAGGUU
rnacentral:rRNA from 1 species